AGAAAUUUAGGUUAAAUAAGACCAAGAGCCUUCAAAGCUCUCAGUAAGCAAACUACUUAAUUUCUG
rnacentral:tRNA from 1 species